ACGGGUGAGUAACGCGUGGGUAACCUACCCUGUACACACGGAUAACAUACCGAAAGGUAUGCUAAUACGGGAUAAUAUAUUUGAGAGGCAUCUCUUAAAUAUCAAAGGUGAGCCAGUACAGGAUGGACCCGCGUCUGAUUAGCUAGUUGGUAAGGUAACGGCUUACCAAGGCAACGAUCAGUAGCCGACCUGAGAGGGUGAUCGGCCACAUUGGAACUGAGACACGGUCCAAACUCCUACGGGAGGCAGCAGUGGGGAAUAUUGCACAAUGGGCGAAAGCCUGAUGCAGCAACGCCGCGUGAGUGAUGAAGGCCUUCGGGUCGUAAAACUCUGUCCUCAAGGAAGAUAAUGACGGUACUUGAGGAGGAAGCCCCGGCUAACUACGUGCCAGCAGCCGCGGUAAUACGUAGGGGGCUAGCGUUAUCCGGAUUUACUGGGCGUAAAGGGUGCGUAGGCGGUCUUUCAAGUCAGGAGUGAAAGGCUACGGCUCAACCGUAGUAAGCUCUUGAAACUGGGAGACUUGAGUGCAGGAGAGGAGAGUGGAAUUCCUAGUGUAGCGGUGAAAUGCGUAGAUAUUAGGAGGAACACCAGUUGCGAAGGCGGCUCUCUGGACUGUAACUGACGCUGAGGCACGAAAGCGUGGGGAGCAAACAGGAUUAGAUACCCUGGUAGUCCACGCUGUAAACGAUGAGUACUAGGUGUCGGGGGUUACCCCCUUCGGUGCCGCAGCUAACG
rnacentral:rRNA from 1 species